GAUACCGGUGAAAGGUGCGCGGUAUUAGAUAGGCUAGCAAAUGUGGAAGGGUGAGAGUGCGUAUAAUCCAUGGACUCAACAUCUACUAUCUACUACACUAUAAAAGGAAGAGAGGGACAGAUCCAAACAAUCAGAUCCAUCCAUUAACAAGAUCUAAUGAUCCAUAAUUUUUCUGUGUUUAACGCUACCAACCACGCACUUAGAAAACGCUAAUCCCUCCAUCUCUCUCCGCACGUCCUCUGUCGCCCCCAGUAACCGCUCACACAUAUCGUGCUUCCUCUCUCUCCCGCACCAUCCUUCGCUCCCCCGCACCCGCCGCUCAUCCCCGCGUCCCUUCUCGCCGGCAGCCCCGUCGCGCUCCUUCACUCCGCCACCCGCUCGGCCCGCCGCCCCUUCACUCCUGCGCAUGGACGGGGGAGGCCGCACGCACGCCCGCACCAGAGACCGGGCGGCGGAGGCCGCACCCGACGGGGAGGCCAGACGGCGGAGGUCGCACGCACCUGAGGCCGGACAGCGACGACGGAGGCUGCACGCACCCGACGGGGAGGCCGGAUGGGGACGACGAGAGGCCGCACCCAGCCGACGGGGAGGCCAGCACGACGACGGCGGGAGGCCGCACACAUCGGAUGGGGAGGCCAGAAGGCGACGACGCAAGGAGGCGGCACGCACUGGACGGGGAGGCUGGAAGGCGACGGCGCGCGGAGGCCGCACGCACCCGACAGCGACGGCAGAGGUCGAUUUGGAUUAUCCGCUGGAUUGGAUCAAACUGUGAAUUCUCAUGUUGAGACAAUGAUGUUGACUGAUGCACCUCUUCUAUAUACUCCUGGACAGGUUAACCAGCUCCAUCUACCUGGUAUGAAAGAAAUGAGGCAUGCUAAUCGCAAGUUGAAGCAUUGUUUGGAUCCAAGCUCUCACGAUGAGCACAAGUACCCCCUCUUUUGCAGUAUUGAUAAAAACCAAUUUCACUACGGUGUCAUCAUCAUCACUCGAAGAAAAGCACCCAGUCUGAUUUUUUCCAUGUUACUCUGUUAGAGCUCACUGUUGAUGGGUUGGUUGGAACUGCGACAGAGCGAUCGAGGCCAGUGCAUUGGAUUCUAUAGUCGAGGGGAGCUCUGUAGAUUGUAACACAUCAUUUUUUCCUGCGUGAAGGUGAGCUGAUUCAACUCUCCAAAAGCAAGAUCAUUCUGUUUAUAAACAAUUUGUUAAAUUCGUAGAUUAAGCCCAGGUCCUACCAAUUCAUCCAAAAGAACCAACGACCCAGAUCCUAUGUACCAUUAUUUCCAAACAUGAUUGAGUACACUGGUUAAUAGAUUGACAUUUUUUUGUUACCCUGAACAGUAAGGCAUGGCCCUACUAUAAAUAUUUGUUGCGCCAAGAAAACAAAAGGGUUACAAAGAAAUAGAAAUGCAUAUAUUGUGGAUUGAUGACUAAACAAGUUUGCACGCAAAUCCCUGAAAAUAUGGUAAAGCCUUUGGUUGAGAGUUAAGAAUUAUUCCUAUGUUGCUCUGGAUACGAAUGUAAUAUCUGAAUGCUUGCUUAAUUUAGGUAUAUAUAUGUAAGAGCUAAAAUUGAUCCAUACUCUUUCUAAGAUCAAAUUUGGGCAUAUAAAUGGCUCUCAGUUAUACAUAAAAUUAGAAAUGGAUGUACUGUAGGGGCCUAUGUUCAGGAUGAGGGUACAAUUAUACCAAAUUAUAUAUACCGAGGCAAGCAGAACGACGCCGUCGCCCCGUCUCGCAGCCGCCACCGCUCCCUGGGCCUACUCCAUGCGGAUUCCAUAUCAUGGACUAAUGCCGCUGCGACGCCUAGCCCGAUUAGGCAAUAUAUGUUAUUUUUUGUUUAAAUCCUAUAGGAAUUGCAAGUUUGCAGCCACAUGUUGACAUCUUGAUUCAACCCAUGAUACUUUCUUCGAUGUCUAUUUCUUUUUUUAAUGCAACUUUUCGCCCUGCAUAAAUGGCUAUUAGGAGAGCACGAUGUCAGCUGCACCGACGCUCAUGCCGAUGUAACUGAAUGUGCAAAUUGUUUCUUCAACAAAAAGCUGCAAUGUGAUUUGAAAGUACCAGUUUAUACACUGGAGGAUCCUGAAUUGAUGCAUAUAUUGGCUCAUAAAGUAACUAGGCUCUGAAUUGCGGAAUGAGGAGAUGUGUGCUUAUGGUUGUGUGUUAGUCUCUCUAUUCACUCACCUAAAUAUGAAAAGGUACUGAAGUACAUCAGAAUUUUUUAUCCCAGUGCAUCAGAAUUAUUUCUUUGCUGCAGGGUUUCUGCUGCUAUUGUUAAAUCUUAAAGAAACAUCUGUUCCUGGUUCAGAUGUUUACAAGUUCCCUUUGUUCAAACAUGGAAAUGAUUUAUUUGCAAACUUCAAUGCAAAAUGGUUAGUUAGUCUUGAAACUGCAUCUAUAUAUACUUUCCAGUCGUGCUAUUGAUGCCGCAUCCAGAUUAUUGGUAUCUUCUCUUUUUCUUUUCUUGGGAGAGGUAACAACCAAGGUUUCACUCAAGGAUCGAGCAAAUGCAGUUCUAAUGUUUGUUUCUUCUAAUUCUAAGCCCGAGUAAGGACUUUAACUGUCCAUGAAAUAUUUCUCCUCAUAUAUCUAAAAAAACUAAUAUAUGGAACCAGAAAAAUUAGAUUUACUGGAUUUUAUUGAAUUCUAUUUGGUGCAUAAUUUAUUGCAUAUUAGACGUAAUGAUGCCGAUCUAUUAUAUUUAUUAGGUGGGUGGACCAUGUACCCUAUACAGUAUUUUUCAACUAGGUUAGAAUUUGACAUUUCUGUCUUGCGAGCUUUAGAGAAGGAUUGGUCUGAUUAUCCGUUGAUGUUCUAGAGUUUAGUUUGUUGGUUGCUUCAGUUAUGGUGCUUUUAUUUGGAAUAAGAAUGACUUCAGGUGCUUAAUGGUGUAAUGCUAGGGCCAAACAUUAGUUUCAGCUUCUGCAUAAGAGAUACGAUCAGACUAUUAUUAGUGAGCUUGUAUUCUUUUACAGAGUGCAUAUCAAUCAAAAACAUAAAUUGUACAUGCAAGAUUAAUAAAAUUGUGAAUUUUAUAUCAAAGACAUGCAUUGCACUUCUUUUUUUUGGGCACACCAACAUAUCAAUAUUAUGCUUAAACUAUGGUUUAGUAUGACAUAGAACUACCCUUAUGUGCCAACAGUCUUUCGUGUGUCGAACAGUGCUGCCACUUCAAGUUAAGCCAGAUGACGGUUUGGUCGGCAUGUGAAAUGCAAGUACAUAAAUAAUUUCUUUCUUGGAAGAUGUCAUAUGUACGUAUUUCAAGAAGACAAAUUUUUCAUCGCUAUCACACCGGCAAAACCUAUGAAGACACCGCUAUAUAAUUUUUGACUCCUUUUGAUCUUUGGAAACAUGUGUUUUGUGUUACCAUGUCCCCUUUAAAAAAUGGUUAUAUCAGAAAUCAAUCAGUUUCAUUAGUCUACACGUCCAUUGUUUUACAAGGUUUCUUCUAUGCUUGUUCCGACCAUUGGAAUUUUCAAAGACCAGCGCCGAAAGAACAUGUCACUGGAGGCUCAAGAUACAAGGCCUAGCUGGAAGAGACAUCUUCCCAAGGUGUGCUCGCAAAGGAGCUUGCUAUGGCCAUCCAGGGUCCAGGGCGAUUACAUACGCGGCGAAUGCAGAUGCAUAUGGUAAGCUCCGUGUCGACAUGACGAACAAGCACCAGUUGGGAGCCCAGAUGAAGAAGGCUGCCGAUGGGAGAAAGAGGAGAAGCGAUGAGAUGUUUGUGGCAACUUAUGGAUGAUGUUAUCUUAGUUUGUGGAUUCUAUUUUGGUCGACUCAGAGAUCUUGUUUUGUGUCUGAAGAUCCCUUUCUGCCCACUGUUCGAACCAUCAUAAAUUGUCAAACAAUGCACUUCAAAUAACUAAGUUAGGAAUCACACGAAUAUUUUACAAAA